rnacentral:lncRNA from 1 species
AGUCAUUAACUUGAACUAGCACAUCCUCCACCACUCCAACAGGGCGAGCAUUGCUCCUGUUUGCCGGCUGAAUAGUAAGACCUGUAUGCUGCAAAGGACCAAGAUCAAGAUUGUUAAAAACAGAAGUAGGCAUGACAUUGAUAGAAGCUCCUAAAUCUAACAUGCAAUUUUCGAAUUUUCUAUCCCCAAUGGUACAUGGAAUAGAAAAAGUUCCUGGAUCCUUGCAUUUCUGUGGCAUGGCCUGAUUGAGGCUUGAAACAUUAGCUUUCUCAGGCACAGGUUCGAGUGCAGCAUUAGACUCAAUGAGGGCUGAAACAUUUCGGCCCAGAUUAACUCUCUCAUUUCCCUUUACUUUCCUCUUGUUUGUGCANNNNNNNNNNNNNNNNNNNNNNNNNNACAAAUCCUUCAAGAAUUUUGCAUAUUCCGGAAUCUGCUUGAUCACAUCAAGGAGAGGAAUAUUGACUGCUACUUUGCUGAAUACAUCAAGAAUCUCCUUGUCUUCCUCCGCCUUGUUUUUUUUAUUUUUC